AGAGUUUGAUCCUGGCUCAGGACGAACGCUGGCGGCGUGCUUAACACAUGCAAGUCGAGCGAUGAAGCUCCUUCGGGAGUGGAUUAGCGGCGGACGGGUGAGUAACACGUGGGUAACCUGCCUCAUAGAGGGGAAUAGCCUUUCGAAAGGAAGAUUAGUACCGCAUAAGAUUGUAGUACCGCAUGGUACAGCAAUUAAAGGAGUAAUCCGCUAUGAGAUGGACCCGCGUCGCAUUAGCUAGUUGGUGAGGUAACUGCUCACCAAGGCGACGAUGCGUAGCCGACCUGAGAGGGUGAUCGGCCACAUUGGGACUGAGACACGGCCCAGACUCCUACGGGAGGCAGCAGUGGGGAAUAUUGCACAAUGGGGGAAACCCUGAUGCAGCAACGCCGCGUGAGUGAUGACGGUCUUCGGAUUGUAAAGCUCUGUCUUUAGGGACGAUAAUGACGGUACCUAAGGAGGAAGCCACGGCUAACUACGUGCCAGCAGCCGCGGUAAUACGUAGGUGGCAAGCGUUGUCCGGAUU
rnacentral:rRNA from 1 species